rnacentral:rRNA from 1 species
CUGCUGCCUUCCGUAGGAGUUUGGACCGUGUCUCAGUUCCAAUGUGGGGGACCUUCCUCUCAGAACCCCUACUGAUCGUCGCCCCGGUGGGCCGUUACCCCGCCGGCAAGCUAAUCAGACGCAUCCCCAUCCUUUACCGGCCGAAGCCUUUGGUCAUGAAAAUAUACAUCAACAUGACAACAUACGGUAUUAAUCCGCCUUUCGACGGGCUGUCCCAUAGUAAAGGGCAGGUUGGAUACGCGUUACUCACCCGUACGCCGGUCGCCAUCAG